rnacentral:rRNA from 1 species
GACGAACGCUGGCGGCGUGCUUAACACAUGCAAGUCGAACGGAAAGGCCCUGCUUUUGUGGGGUGCUCGAGUGGCGAACGGGUGAGUAACACGUGAGUAACCUGCCCUUGACUUUGGGAUAACUUCAGGAAACUGGGGCUAAUACCGGAUAGGAGCUCCUGCUGCAUGGUGGGGGUUGGAAAGUUUCGGCGGUUGGGGAUGGACUCGCGGCUUAUCAGCUUGUUGGUGGGGUAGUGGCUUACCAAGGCUUUGACGGGUAGCCGGCCUGAGAGGGUGACCGGCCAAAUUGGGACUGAGAUACGGCCCAGACUCCUACGGGAGGCAGCAGUGGGGAAUAUUGCACAAUGGGCGGAAGCCUGAUGCAGCAACGCCGCGUGCGGGAUGACGGCCUUCGGGUUGUAAACCGCUUUCGCAUGUGACGAAGCGUGAGUGACGGUAAUGGGUAAAGAAGCACCGGCUAAGUACGUG